GCAAGUGAUGACUUCACUAUUCUUCACUUUGACCUGACUAACCAGUGAUGACAAACUUAAGCCUGAGC